rfam:Oryza glaberrima chromosome 4 Oglab04_0310_42, whole genome shotgun sequence.
UUUAAGUGCAACCAUAAGUUUCCGUACCCAACUUUGACGGUCCGUCUUAUUCGAAAUUUUUUUAUAAUUAGUAUUUUUAUUGUUAUGAGAUGAUAAAACAUAAAUAGUACUUUAUACGUGACUUAUUUUUUUAUUUUUUUCAAAUAAGACGUGCGAUCAAAGUUUAGCACGGAAAAUCAUGGUUGCACUUAAA